GCCUAAACUAUAAAAAUUCCUCAACAAGAGAUUAUUUUAAAGUAUGUGCUCUUUAGGAAAAAUAUAUGAGGUUGCAGCUUUGAUAAGAGGGUGGAAACCAAGAAUUAAAUAGUUAUCGAUCUUCUAUCCUGGAAAAGAGGUGCUGUGGAAAGGGUAGUUCAUACAUGUUUAUGAGUAGUUGUAUUAAAAAUGCACAAAUGCAGAUAAUUCUAAAUUUGGUAUCAAUUGAGGAAAAUACUCCUUAAAUUUAGUUUUGGGGGAGAAGACGAUGUGGGUAUAAAAUGCUAAUGCUAGAUGUUUUCCUUGAGAAAAUGAGUUUCAAAUCAAGUGUGUGUGUUGUGGGGGGAAGUGCAUUUUGCCAUAAACCAAGGCUUUUUCCAUAGGUAGAUAGAAUUUGUUUCACAGGCGGAUAUAAAUAUAUCUUAAUAGCUGGAAUUUAAGUAUUUCCAAGGUUGGUUUCUGAUAGGUUAAGUUUUCUGAAACGAACUUCCACAAAGACUCCUCAUAAAUGAAGCAGGAGUCUAAUUUUGCAGCCCUUGGGCCUUUUUGGCAAACUGAAACCUGGUGUUCUUUGAAGGAGAAGACGUUCAGUGGUUUUUUUUAACACAGAAAAACAAAUGUCGUGCUGAAAAAUAGAACUUAUCAAGGACUGACUUUAUUUGUGGCAGGCACCGCUGAAAGCUGAAGCUGUAAUACACCCAUAAGCAAGUAGCACCGGUCGUGUACAUCGAUGGCCUCUGCGCCAAUAAUUCCAGACUCUUACAACCAUGUGUUGGCAGAGCUUGAAUGUUUGGAUCCGUUGCUUUCUGCACUCAGGCUGGAUUCUGGUCGUCUGAAGUGCACAUGUAUAGAUGUAUCAAAGAGAUGGCUGGCUCUGGGCAGCUCAGGAGGAGGGCUGAACCUUAUACAGAAAGAUGGCUGGAAGCAAAGGCUUUUUCUCACUCAUAAGGAGGGUGCCGUUUCCCGGGUUGCCUGUUGUUUGCAUGAUGAAGACUAUGUUGCUGUUGCCACCAGCCAAGGUCUUGUAGUAGUCUGGGAGCUGAACCAGGAACGUCGUGGGAAGCCAGAGCGGAUUUAUGUUUCCUCUGAGCACAAGGGCAGAAAAGUCACAGCUCUGCGUUGGGAUACAGCUGCUCUUCGUGUUUUUGUAGGAGAUCAUGUGGGAAAAGUAUCAGCCAUCAAGAUUAACACAUCGAAGCAAGGGAAGGCUGCUGCUACUUUUGUGAUGUUUCCUGUUCAGAUUAUAACCACUGUAGAUUCUCGGGUUGUUCAGCUCGAUUAUUUGGAUGGACGACUGCUCAUAUCUUCACUUACACGCACUUAUUUGUGUGAUACUGAGAGAGAGAAGUUCUGGAAAAUUGGUAAUAAAGAGAGAGAUGGAGAAUUUGGAGCAUGUUUCUUCCCUGCUGGAAAAAACAGUGGGAAUCAGCAGCCAUUAAUAUAUUGUGCUCGACCUGGCUCAAGGAUGUGGGAGGUGAACUUUGAUGGGGAAGUGCAAAGCACGCAUCAGUUCAAGCAGCUGCUGUCAUCACCACCCCUCCCUGUUGUUACUCUCAGGCUGGAUCCUCAUUAUACUAGUUCCAGCUGCUCUCCACAAUCUUUAUCUUUCCCAAAGCUGCUGUAUCUGACUGAGCACUGUGUGAUGACCUGGACAGAAAGAGGCAUUUAUAUUUUUCUUCCCCAAAGUGUUCAAGUCUUACUCUGGAGUGAAGUAAAAGAUAUUCAGGAUAUUGCAGUUUACAAAAGUGAGUUGUUCUGUCUGCAUACAAAUGGAAAAGUUGUUCAUCUCUCCCUUCUGCUGGUAGACCGCUGCAUAGACCGUCUAAUGAGAAGAGGGUUCUGGACCCUUGCUGCCAGGGUCUGUUGUCUCUUCCAAAAUGCAAUUAUUUCUUGCAGGGCAAGAAAAAAUUUGCCUUUAGACAAGCUGGAGCACUUAAAGUCUCAGCUGGAUGCCUCAACCCAACAAGAUCUUACUGUGCAAGUGGAAGAACUGAUUUCAAAGUUGGAACCUGUAGAUUCUGCAUGCAGCAGUAGAAGGAGCAGUAUUUCAUCUCAUGAAAGUUUUAGUGUCUUAGAUUCUGGAAUAUAUCGUGUUAUCAGUCGAAGAGGCAGUCAGUCAGAUGAAGAUUCAAAUUCUCUCCACAGUCAAACAUUCUCAGAAGAUGAGAGACUUAAAGAAUUUCCUGCACACCAUGAAGAUGAGCAAGUAGAACUUGACAACGUAUCUCAUACAUCUGUGGCGGUUGAGGCUGACCGGAAUGAGACAUUUCUCCCAUUCAGUAUUCCUUUGUCAUUUCGUUCCCCAUCUCCUCUCGUCUCUCUCCAAGCUGUCAAAGAAAGUGUUUCCAGCUUUGUACGCAAAACUACUGAAAAGAUUGGCACACUUCAUAUAAGCCCUGAUGCUAGGGGGAGGCAAGAAGCCAAGGAUGAUGAGCAGCUGCAGGAGUUGAAUGUUAAUCUGGUAGCACCUCCUCAGGAAGAGAAAGAGUUAGAACCACAGAGCUGCCAACUUCCAGAGGAGGACCAUCUAAGAGAUCUCAAGGCUGCAACAGCAGAAGCUAUAGCCAAACUCCAGGAUCCCCUGGUUUUGUUAGAACCACAGUGUAUGAGAAGGGUUUUACAGGAAUGGCUUGUCUGUCUAGAAGCGAAGUUUGGCAGCAAAGAGCAUUCUGCUUCCUCUGUCGAGAACUGCAAGACUGCGUGUGCUGAAGAACAGAGUGCAGUUCUGGAAGAAAACCUACGACUAGGUCCAACUGAUGGAGACCCAGAAGACAAAGAACGGAGCAGUAUCUUGGAAGACUACACUGAAAAGGGAAAUACUGAAGAAACCUGUGUAAGCAAGGCCAUGUGUGAAAAUAGUACUGAUUUGAAGGGACCUUUGGACUGCGUCUUUCAAGUGUCUCCUCCAUGUGUCAUAGAACCGGAUGUUCAGAAAGAUCUUGUUGAGUUGACAACACUGUGUUUUGAGAUGUGUGUGUUUUCUUUUGGAAGUGGUGAUGCUGAGGAAAGCUCUGAUGGAAGUCUGCCACUAGCAGCUUCGUGGACCUUGGCUUGUAGAUUUAUGCGAAGCUACUUCUUUCUUUUGGAUUUAAAAAGACUAAAGCAAUGUAUUAUAACCAUGCAUGCAAACAGUCCUAAUGUAUGGGAAACAUACAUCACAGGCUUGAAAGAACUAACUAGUCACAGCCCAGUGGCUUUAGCAAUGGAAAAUGAAGAUAUGUUGAGAAUACUGAAACAGCUGCAUGACCUGGGGCCUUGGGAUGAUAGCCCGCUCUUACUGGUACAUGCUCAAAGGCUUUAUGAAAAAUUUGGGGAAACAGCUCUUCGGCCCUUAAUCAAGUUCCACCCCUCCCUGUUGCCUUCUGAUAUCAAACAGCUUUGCAGGAAUAAUCCAGCUCACUUUUUAGCGUAUUUAGAUAGUUUGGUGAAAUCAAAGCCAGAGGAUAAAAGGUCAUCUCUCCUUAGAUCUCUUCUGCAGCCUGAAUCUGUACGACUGGAUUGGUUGUGCUUGGCAGUUUCUCAUGAUGCACCACAAAGAGCAAAUACUGUGGAUGCGGAAGGAAAUCCCAGGCCACGAUCACAUUUGUUUACUUGGGGCUACAGCCAGCUCAUUUUGCUUUUGAUUAAACUCCCAGCUAACUUCGUUACAAAAGAAAAGAUGACUGACAUCUGUAAAUCACAUGGGUUCCAUUCCAGAGACCAUAGAAGAAUGGAAGUUUCUUCUGCACCUCGCACAAAAUCACAGCACAGCUUUCCACCACUAUGGCCCACAGAAUGGGAAUGCUGUCAGCAACAGUAGCCCAAGCUGCCCAGACUGCAUCACUGUGGAAAACGUAGCACUCUUGCUGGCAAAGGCCAUUGGCCCAAACCAUGCCUUGCCUCUCUUGCAGGAAUGUGGCUUGACACUAGAAUUGUCUGAGAGAUUUACUGGUGUCUGCAAGAUACUGAGAAUUGCUGAAAAAAGGCAAAGAGCGCUGAUUCAGUCCAUGUUGGAAAGGUGUGACCGGUUUUUGUGGUCUCAGCAAGCAUAGGAAACAGCUUGGAAAACUCUGGGAACAUUUUUUUACUGUAAUGAUUGUGUAUUAAAUUGCCUCUUAAACUUAACAGGCUCUUAAAGAAAGGAACUCCUGUCUAGAAGUUCAGAUGUAUUGAGCCACUCUCCAUCUGGCAGGUAUCUGACCGGGAACUGCUGAGGGUUCUUCCUCGUGCCUUUGGAGCUGAAUUUUGAACUGUAGAACUUAAAUCAAAACAAUCCCAUAUUUACCUUGAAAUUAAGCUCACAGGUUUCUGAGAUGGAAAUUCCUGAGUUUAUUUUCUGAGUUUGUAUGACUGAAGUGUUAAUGAUGUGAGCUCUGAAGUAUUAAAUUAUGGUAUAGAAGUUUUUUUGUUUGUUUCCAAACAUGAGAAAACAUUCCUCAGAAAUAUCUAAGCCAGUAUUUGUUUAAUUUUCCUGUAAAUGGUAUUUACAUUUUCGAGUUACUGUAGAACUGCUUGUUAUUCUACCUGGUUUAUUCUCUUCUUAAAUUAUAUGGACUGGUCUUGGCCAUUUGAAAUGUAUGAAUUAAACCAAGUCUUAAAAUAGGAGGGAAAUAUUUUGCAGGAGUGGAUUAAUGGUUAAGAAUGCUGAUUAACAGAACUUGUUAAAUGAACUCAGUGUUAAACUAUAAGCGUGAUCUUUCCAAAUUGCCCCAUUCUGCCUGUGCAACAUGACUAUAGACAUUAGUUGUGAUAGUUCAACAAACUUCCGGUCAGUGGAAUUAGAAUCACAGAAUCAUUUAGGUUGGAAAAGACUCUUAAGAUCAGUGAGUCUAACCGUAAACUGCCAAGUCAACCAUUAAACCACAUCCUUAAGUGCCACAUCUAUACUCCAGUGCUUCAACCACUUCCUUGGGCACCCAGUUCCAGUGCUUAACAACUCUUUUGGUGAAGAAAUCUUUUCUAAUCUCCUGUCUGAACCUGCCCUGGUGCAACUUCAAGCCCUUUCCUCUUGUCCUAUCACUUGGGGAAAGCGAGUCCAACACCCACUUUGCUACAACCUCCUUUCAGGUAGUUGUAGACAGCAAUAAAUGUCUCCCCUCAGCCUCCUUUUCUCCAGACUAAACAACCCCAGAUCCCUCAGCCACUUCUCAUAAGACUUGUUCUCUAGACCUUUUGCCAGCUUUCUUGCCCUUCUCUGGAUGCACUCCAGCGUCCCAAUGUCUGUCUUGACCAAAAGUGAACACAGUACUCGAUGCGCGGUCUCACCAGUGCCAGCUGCAGGGGCGAUGAUCACUGUCCUGGCCCUGCUGGCUAUGUUAUUUCUGAUACAAGCCAGGAUGCCGUUGGCCUUCUUGGGCACACUGCUGGCCCAUAUUCAGCUGGCUGUCAAACAACCACCCUGGCUCCUUUUCUGCUGGGGCAGCUUUCCAGCCACUCUUCUCCAAGCCUGUAGUGUUGCAUGUGACCUAAGCACAGGCCCCAGCACUGAGCCUUGAUGAGCCUCAUAAAUUGGCCUUGGCGCAUCGAUCCAGCCUGUCUACCUCCCUCUGUAGAGCCUUCCUACCCUCAAACAGAUCAACGCUCCCACCCAGCUUAGUGUUGUCUGUAAACUUGCUGAGGGUGCAUUUGAUCCCCUCAUCCAGAUCAUUGAUUAAAGAUAUUAAACAGAACUGGCCCCAGUCCUGGAACACCACUUGUGACCGACCACCAACUGGAUUUAACUCCAUUCACCACCACUUGUGCGGCUCCGCCAUCCAGCCAGAUUUUUACCCAUCAAAGAACAUGCCCAUCCAAGCCAUAAGCAGCCAGUUUCUCCAGGAGGAUACUGUGGGAGAAUGAAACGGAGUCUCUCAAGGGCUUUACUGAAGUUCAGGUGAACUUUGGUAUUUUUAGAUGCGUGCUGUCAAGAUCUAUGCUUUGUACCAGCACUCUUUCUGCACUUAAUACAUAUUUGAACAAGUUUCUUUCCGGGCUUCUAGUUUUGGCCCUCUGUUGGACUUCCAUUUUCAGCAGAAGGCCACGGUGUCUGGUCAAUACCUGAUAUUCAUAAAUGUUAUUUAAAGAAAAAAAAUCAUGCAUUGGAACUAAAUUUUUUUAAAAUCCAUAAUUUUGUCAUGAAAUUACUUGAAAGUAUUUCUUUAUAAAGCAUCUUUUUAUGUAGUCUUGCAACACUUGUAGUACUGCAAAAUAAUGCUUUUAUUUUCAUGUAAAAUAGGAUUUAGUAAUACAACUUUCAGACUUCUGAAAGGUGCGGUCUGACUAUUUCAUCUCAAUUGCAAGAAAGAGGGUUGGUUACUUCACUAGAGGAAUCAAGUUACAGGAAGACAAUUAGUGGCAGGCUUUCAUUUGUUAGCGUUGCUGGUGGGAAAGCCAAUGCAGAACUACUUCUAAAGAAAACUGUAAAUCUUUGGGGUUUGGAUUUUGAUAUUGGAGACAGCAUGGAUCCUUCUAUCAGAAACCCCCCAUGCUCUUACAGUAAGACUUAGGAGCCAGGUGCCUCCAGUGUAUGGUGAGGUUACACGGACCAGAUGAUGUAGGUGCCUGUUCUCUUGCCUGCUGGAUGCACACACUGUUACUUCCAUGACUUGUGCUUAACUAACUCUGUUUCAUUCAGUGCGUGAAUGUAACACAGUUUUAGCUGAGUACUCAUGUUGCCCUCAUGGGAAUUCAGCUGGCUUUCCGAGAGUAUACCUGGCUUGUCUCUUUAACCUAAGGGUUCUGCUUCAUUUGCUCUGUGUACUUUGUGUACACAGCAGUCUCUUUUUUGCUUCUGUGGGUUUUUUGUACACUUGGUUAACUUCGUGUAAGCGUUGGGGAUUUUUACCAUUAAUGUUACUUUCCAUUCAGAGUUUUUUCAAAAAUUUUGUCUCGGAACAGUUAUAAGUAACAAUGGGAACUGUUUGUUCAAAUAUGGUGGCUAAAGUGAGCUUGUUCUCAUGAGUUCAGCUAACUUGGCUGUCAAUAAAGUGUAAGGAUUUACUUUCUGAAGAAGAGUUGGAAAAUCACUUGUUACAUGUGUUUUCAUCUCAUAUGGGUAAGGUGAAGGGAUUGCGUUACUGAGAUGGUCUUCUGUUUGGAAGUUACAGUUGUACAGAGCAGUGCUCUCACCCUAAAGCUACAGCCCCUACCAGCUCUUGGUAGCUGUGCAUACACCACUGACACUUGAAGCCAGCCUGUGCUGGAGCAGGUUUGCUCCAGCUCAUCUUUGGUUUAAGUGGCUGACUGUUGGUGGAGGGAA